UACAGAGGUCCCGAGCGUUGUUCGGAUUCACUGGGCGUAAAGGGUGCGUAGGCGGUCGGAUAAGUUUGAUGUGAAAUCUCCGGGCUUAACCCGGAAACUGCAUUGAAUACUAUUCGGCUUGAGGUCUGGAGGGGGGACUGGAAUUCUCGGUGUAGCAGUGAAAUGCGUAGAUAUCGAGAGGAACACCAGUGGCGAAGGCGAGUCCCUGGACAGGUCCUGACGCUGAGGCACGAAAGCUAGGGGAGCAAACAGG
rnacentral:rRNA from 1 species